rnacentral:rRNA from 2 species
CCUACGGGAGGCAGCAGUGGGGAAUCUUAGACAAUGGGCGCAAGCCUGAUCUAGCCAUGCCGCGUGAGUGACGAAGGCCUUAGGGUCGUAAAGCUCUUUCGCCAGGGAUGAUAAUGACAGUACCUGGUAAAGAAACCCCGGCUAACUCCGUGCCAGCAGCCGCGGUAAUACGGAGGGGGUUAGCGUUGUUCGGAAUUACUGGGCGUAAAGCGCGCGUAGGCGGAUUAUUAAGUUAGGGGUGAAAUCCCGGGGCUCAACCCCGGAACUGCCUCUAAUACUGGUAGUCUUGAGUUCGAGAGAGGUGAGUGGAAUUCCGAGUGUAGAGGUGAAAUUCGUAGAUAUUCGGAGGAACACCAGUGGCGAAGGCGGCUCACUGGCUCGAUACUGACGCUGAGGUGCGAAAGUGUGGGGAGCAAACAGGAUUAGAUACCCUGGUAGUCCACACCGUAAACGAUGAAUGCCAGACGUCGGCAAGCAUGCUUGUCGGUGUCACACCUAACGGAUUAAGCAUUCCGCCUGGGGAGUACGGUCGCAAGAUUAAAACUCAAAGGAAUUGACGG